rnacentral:rRNA from 1 species
AAUGGCGAAAGCAUCUUACUAAGUAAGGACUGACGGUAAGGUACGAAGGCUAGGGCAUGAAUAGGGAUUAGAUACCCCAGUACUCCUAGCUGUAAACGAUGCAGAUUAGAGAUUAGUUAUGUAGACCUAGUCUCGAUGUUAACGCGUUAAAUCUGCCACCUGUAUAGUAUAGUCGCAUGGCUGAAAUACAAAUAAUUAGACCGCCCGUAAGCAAACGGAGUGAAGCAUGUUAUUUAAUACGAUAACCCGCGUACAAUCUUACCACAUCUUGCAUACCUACAUUGUCUGGAAUAGACGUAGUGUACAGGUGCUGCAUGGCUGUCGCCAGUUAGUGCUCGUAAGGCCUAAGGUUAAUUCCGUUGAACUAACGCAAUCCUCGCUGUGAGUUUACACCUUGCAGUCUCAUCCUGAUAAAGGAUGAUUUUAGGAGGACUAUGACAAGCCCUCAUGGCCCUUAUGGUGUGGGCUAUAGACGUGCCACAAGAACGUAUACAAUAUGAAGCAAUCUCGAAAGAAGGAACUAACCACUAAAAUACGUUAAUGUACGGAUUGUAGGCUGCAACUCGCCUACAUGAAGCAGGA